rnacentral:piRNA from 1 species
GCAGAUCGUGUACUUCAUUGGAU